rnacentral:rRNA from 1 species
ACGCUGGCGGCACGCCUAACACAUGCAAGUCGAACGAAGUAGCAAUACUUAGUGGCAGACGGGUGAGUAACAUGUAGGUAUCUUCCCUUUGGCCUGGAAUAACACGAGGAAACUUGUGCUAAUACUGGAUAAGUCUUUACGGAGAAAGCUUUAUGCACCAUUGGAUGAGCCUGCACUUGAUUAGUUUGUUGGUGGGGUAAAGGCCUACCAAGACUGUGAUCAAUAGCUGAUUUGAGAGGAUGAUCAGCCACAUUGGGACUGAGACACGGCCCAAACUCCUACGGGAGGCAGCAGUGGGGAAUCUUGCACAAUGGAGGAAACUCUGAUGCAGCGAUGCCGCGUGAGUGAAGAAGGCCUUUGGGUUGUAAAGCUCUUUCGUCGGGGAAGAAAAUGACUGUACCCGAAUAAGAAGGUCCGGCUAACUUCGUGCCAGCAGCCGCGGUAAUACGAAGGGACCUAGCGUAGUUCGGAAUUACUGGGCUUAAAGAGUUCGUAGGUGGUUGAAAAAGUUGGUGGUGAAAUCCCAGAGCUUAACUCUGGAACUGCCAUCAAAACUUUUCAGCUAGAGUUUGAUAGAGGAAAGCAGAAUUUCUAGUGUAGAGGUGAAAUUCGUAGAUAUUAGAAAGAAUACCAAUUGCGAAGGCAGCUUUCUGGAUCAUUACUGACACUGAGGAACGAAAGCAUGGGUAGCGAAGAGGAUUAGAUACCCUCGUAGUCCAUGCCGUAAACGAUGUGUGUUAGACGUUGGAAAUUUAUUUUCAGUGUCGCAGCAAAAGCGAUAAACACACCGCCUGGGGAGUACGACC